rnacentral:rRNA from 1 species
AAUUCGCCCUUAGAGUUUGAUCAUGGCUCAGAUUGAACGCUGGCGGCAUGCCUUACACAUGCAAGUCGAACGGUAACGCGGGGCAACCUGGCGACGAGUGGCGAACGGGUGAGUAAUAUAUCGGAACGUGCCCAGUCGUGGGGGAUAACUGCUCGAAAGAGCAGCUAAUACCGCAUACGACCUGAGGGUGAAAGCGGGGGAUCUUCGGACCUCGCGCGAUUGGAGCGGCCGAUAUCAGAUUAGGUAGUUGGUGGGGUAAAGGCCUACCAAGCCGACGAUCUGUAGCUGGUCUGAGAGGACGACCAGCCACACUGGGACUGAGACACGGCCCAGACUCCUACGGGAGGCAGCAGUGGGGAAUUUUGGACAAUGGGGGCAACCCUGAUCCAGCCAUGCCGCGUGCGGGAAGAAGGCCUUCGGGUUGUAAACCGCUUUUGUCAGGGAAGAAAUCCUUUGGGCUAAUAACUCGGAGGGAUGACGG